GGGAAAGUGGCUGAGCGGUUUAAAGCGGCAGACUGUAAAUCUGUUGAAUUUUUUCAUCGUAAGUUCGAAUCUUACCUUUCCCA
rnacentral:tRNA from 1 species